UACACUCCUACGGGAGGCAGCAGUGGGGAAUUUUGGACAAUGGGCGAAAGCCUGAUCCCGCAAUGCCGCGUGAGUGAAGAAGGCCUUCGGGUUGUAAAGCUCUUUUGUCAGGGAAGAAACGGUGAAAGCUAAUAUCUUUUGCUAAUGACGGUACCUGAAGAAUAAGCACCGGCUAACUACGUGCCAGCAGACGCGGAAAUACGUAGGGUGCAAGCGUUAAUCGGAAUUACUGGGCGUAAAGCGUGCGCAGGCGGUUUUGUAAGUCUGAUGUGAAAUCCCCGGGCUCAACCUGGGAAUUGCAUUGGAGACUGCAAGGCUAGAAUCUGGCAGAGGGGGGUAGAAUUCCACGUGUAGCAGUGAAAUGCGUAGAUAUGUGGAGGAACACCGAUGGCGAAGGCAGCCCCCUGGGUCAAGAUUGACGCUCAUGCACGAAAGCGUGGGGAGCAAACAGGAUUAGAGACCCCUGUAGUCCCAUGAU
rnacentral:rRNA from 1 species